UACAGAGGGUGCGAGCGUUAAUCGGAAUUACUGGGCGUAAAGCGCGCGUAGGUGGUUUGUUAAGUUGAAUGUGAAAGCCCCGGGCUCAACCUGGGAACUGCAUCCAAAACUGGCAAGCUAGAGUAUGGCAGAGGGUGGUGGAAUUUCCUGUGUAGCGGUGAAAUGCGUAGAUAUAGGAAGGAACACCAGUGGCGAAGGCGACCACCUGGGCUAAUACUGACACUGAGGUGCGAAAGCGUGGGGAGCAAACAGG
rnacentral:rRNA from 1 species